AACUGCAGGGUUGGGACUUCCAGGUCCUUCCCUCCAGCUCCCCUCCUGCCUGCUCCUUCUGAGCACCCUUAUCCCAGUUUACCCCUGAAACUCGGAACCCCAUGCUGAGCACUGUGCAAGGACGGGUGCUGUGUGGUUCUUAAUGAGCCUAUCCCAACAGCUAGGACUUUGGGUCCAAACAUGAGCUCAGCAGCUAUCCUGCUGUGUUUUCGUGGGUGGAGAAAUGGCGCGUCAGCCUGCAGUGGGCACGUAGCUUUCAUUCUACUGGCUUCAGAGCAGCUUGGGAACCCAAAUGGAACUCCCUGCAGGUGCAGACCUCGGGUACUUGCUCCAACUCACUCAGCAAUCUGCCUUCCUCCUCUCAUCUGGUGUGCCACCAGCACCAGGCCACUCUCCACUUUCAGAACUGGAUAAAACACCGCAUCCCAUGCGUGGAUCUCACCACGGGGGAACUUGGCCAUGAACCCCUAUGGGCGAUUUCAUUCCAACUGAGGUGAAACUUGACCGGUACCUUGCUGGCCUUACCCUGGUCCCAGCCUGGACUCCAGGAAGAAGCACUGAGGAACCUUGUCCACCUGAGGCAGAUAGGCACAGAGUAGAGCUCGCUGGAGCCAGAACCUAGGAAUGCUUGGCCGGCUCCAAAAGAAGCCACCUGGCAAACAAGAGGCGAAGUGCUCUGCAUAUCAGCCUCUUGGAGGUUUGCAUGGGGUGGGGUUGGGAGGCCAAGUGACAAGGCACCAGUAGCCAUGCUGCAGGAGGGGAACAGAGUGGGUGCUGUGCCCACUACACAAAGGGAAGACUGAGGCUCUGAUGUAAAGGGAGCUGCAGAGAUAGGUGUCUGUAGGAAGGGGAAUCUUCAAAGGGGCAAACAGGUAAGAAACUUCAUAGCAGGCUGAUUCUGCUUAUGGCCACUCUAAAUGCCCCAUCCUGCCCUCCUCCCUCCUCUACCAUGCCGCCCACAAAAGCUCUCUUCCGCAAGGAUCUCCUGCUCUGGGCUCACCCCACCAGAGACUUAGCCUGAAGGAUACUGGGGGACAGGAAUGGGAGAAGACAGAAAGGGGUGAGCUGUGUUGUCCUUUUCUUUCCCUUGACCUCAAGUGCCAGCUAGGGUCAGUCCCACAUCCUUCUCAGCCUCACUUCCCUUGGGAAGCCUUUCUUGACCUACCCUCACUUCUUGACUUCUCUCAACACUUAGUGCAGGUCCAGGGAAAGGGAUCUAACUGGAUGUGGCCUGGGGGCUCUAGAGUUUUGUUGAGUGCUCUUAAGGUAUCCUGCCUCCCCUAUCAAACCAUGUCACACCAAACAGAUAUGAUAUCAUGGGUGUCCUCCAUCUGUCACUGUCCCUCUCAGACCAGCCCUGGGAGAGCAAGCUUUGUCUCCUGUCAGUGGACCCCCAUUAGGCUGAACCUCUCCUCCUGCCUGUGGGCGCCCACAGAAGACCUUAUGGAGAUACCUCCCCCACACACACCCUCCUCAGCCACAGCCUCCCUCCCCCACCCUCUCGGGACAAAGCUUG